GUUAUACUUUCCACUAUCCCCCCUUUGCUCAUGUGACUCCUCCCAUGAGCAAUCUCAAUUAGUCCUUUCAUGUAAGCCGUGGGGAGACAGGGUUUGUUUAUCUCUGGGUGUACCCAUAUCCCGCCUAUGUUUGCACCCCCCUUUUUUCCAUUUCACAUAAUCUUGUGGAGUAGCUUGUUUUUGGAUAUCUUUGGUUGUUAUCCUGGUUCCAUUAUCUAUUUGUGCCACUUGUGUAUGGACUGGUUGUGUGGCUGUGAGUUGAGCUACUUUGUCUGCAUAAGCGUUUCCUCUCGACACAGGGUCCCCUGCUUUUGUGUGUGCUGCACAUUUUAUGAUGGCCACUUUCUUUGGUAGUUGGAUUGCUUCCAACAGUUCUGCUACUAGGCAAUGGUUCUUUAUCUUUGCUCCUGAGCUCAUUACGAUGUCUCCAAAUAGCCCCAAAGUCAUGUGCCACUCCCCACGCGUACCGGGAAUCGGUCCAGACGUUCACGGUCUUAUCUUGUGCUAGUUUACACGCCUGUAUGAGUGCAGCAAGUUCAGCUGCCUGCGCUGAGUAAUUAGAUGGGAGUGAUUCUGCUUUCACCACUUCUGUGUGUGACACAACAGCAUAUGCUGCUCGAUUAGUGCCUUGAGAGUCACGUUUAGCUGAACCGUCCACAAACAAUUCCAGGUCCGCAUUAAAUAUUGGUUCCUCCUUUAAAUCUAUUCUGGGAGAUGUUGCAAUUUCUAACACCUGUUGGCAGUCAUGGGGCUCUCCCUCCUCCCCUGUAGGCAAUAGAGUGGAGGGGUUUAGAGUUGUGCAUCGUUUCACAGUAACAUUUGGCAUGUCUAGUAAGGCAGUGUGGUAUCUAAGCCAUCGCUGAGUGGACAAAUGUGCCACCUUUUGAUCUUGCAGUAUUCUUGACACUGCAUGAGGCACAUAUAGGGUAAGCUUGGCGUAGCCUACUAUGUCUCUGGAAGCCACUAGUGCCUUCUCGGCGGCUGCCACAGCUCUUACACAUAAAGGCCGUAGGCACAUCUUCUGAAACCCCGGGCCAGGCAGAACACCACCACAUACUCUGACCUUCAUCAUUCAAAUGUGGAACAGUCUUACGUGCCAGUCAAGUAAGGUGAAAGGUCAAGGUGGUCUCAGUUGUUUCCUCAUCCAGAAGGAACAUGGAAUGGAAUUUCAAAACAAAUCUUCAGAAGUCAUUCUGCCAAAGGCUUCUAGGCGUGGUUGGAGCGACUGUCAUAUCGCCUGAUUCCUCAUCUCACUACAACACCCAGCAGGCAGUUCGUCACCCAACCCAGCACUCCACCAAUCCUGAACUUCACAUCAGAUCAUCAUCACCUGAAUACUGACUUCUCAGUGUAAAAUCCUUCAACUCCUGGACCUCAUUCCAGAUCUGAGAUCUGCUUCUCUUCAUCUCUGGCAUCAUCAACAUCUCCUUAUCCUCUGGACAUGUACCAAUUGCCAAGAAGCCAGCUCCACGAUCCCAAUCAGUCGGGCUGCAAACCAGCACAUUUGACAGAAACAGCUCUCAGAGCAGUGAAGGAGCCAAAACUCCCGGUGACUCCCCCAGGGCUCAGUGUUAGGUUUCAGAUGUAUCAAAGAAUGCUUGACUGACAUUUUGUC